rnacentral:rRNA from 1 species
GUGCCAGCAGCCGCGGUAAGACAGAGGCCUCGAGCGUUAGGCGGAAUCACUGGGCUUAAAGCGUGUGUAGGCGGGCCCGUAAGUGUCUUGUGAAAUCCCACGGCUCAACCGUGGAACUGCUGGGCAUACUGCGGGUCUUGGGCCAACUAGGGGCAGCCGGAACAAGCGGUGGAGCGGUGAAAUGCGUAGAUAUCGCUUGGAACGCCGAAGGUGAAAACAGGCUGCUGGGGUUGCGCCGACGCUGAGACACGAAAGCCAGGGGAGCAAACGGGAUUAGAUACCCCGGUAGUCC